GCCUUAAUAAGGUUUGACUGAACCUGAAGAUGUUACACUAUUAUUAAAAUGGUUAUUUGCAUUAUGUGAAUUGGACAUUGAGAUUCCUUAGGCAGCUUGGCAAUCACUCACGUAAUAAAUAUAACUCAGACGAAGUUGGUACAGAACUUGGUUUCCCCUGUUUCUAGGCUUUUUGAAGAGCCUAACUGCCUUCAAUAAAAGAGUCCUGAACUUUUAGUUCAGGCACAGGGACGUCUGUGUUUAUGUGCAAAGGUCACAGAUGCAGCUUGACCAGUCAUUUGCUGUCUGGUGCCAGGAACCACAAAAACAGAUGGAGAGUUGGAGAAAGAAGUGGUAGAAGAAAGCCUCUCAAGGUAAAGCCUGUGGCUUUUGUGAUAGGGGACUAUGACUUUAGUGGCUCCAUUUGAUGCAGUGGAGGAGUGAUUCCUGCUCAUAAGGAGUUACUUAGCGUAAAAUGAGUAGGAGAUGGAGGAAGUGAAGGGGGGUGGAAAAACACAUGAAUCACUGUGCAUCAUACUUUCCUUGUGUGCAGUGAUGUUGCUCAGUGCUUUCCCUUGAGGUGGGAGCUGGGGAGCACGUGUGUGAGGGAACGCCCUGGGUUAGCUGGCUGUGUACACCUUGUGGGAAGGUGCUGUUUUCCUUGCUCAUCUUCCUCCACGCUCUGGGCUGUGUCCUGGAGACGUGGCUGGAGGCCGGUCCUCCCAGCAGCCUGAGGACAGGGCUGGCUGCCUUCACCGCUCAGGUUUUGUUCAUGUCCAAGUGUUCUAUACACAGCGCAUCUGUGCUUGGGGGAAUGGCUGAGCAGAAGCACCUGAAAAUAUGAAUGAGGACAGGGAUUAUGGGUAUUUUAUGCAGCUCAUUUUUGCUGUAUUGUGGUUUACAGAGAGAAAAUAACAGCCCUGUAGUGGCAUAAACAAGACUGCAGUAUCCCAGGGGAACUUGGCUGAUAUGGGCUGCAGCUCCUGGGGCACGAGCUCCUCUGUGUGUGUGUGUGUGUGUGUGUGCAGCAGGGGGCAGGGGUUUGCUUUCUCUAGAGUGGGGGGGGCACCUACAACCAGAAGAUAAAUAGAGUUCAAGAGUGAUGGUCUUGUGGUGUUACUUGGGCAUUCUGGGUGGCCUUGAUCAGAAGGGUGUGAUACUGAAGGAUGUGAUCAGAAGGAUGUGAUACUGAUGUUGCCAUUUCAUGCAGCAUGACAAUUCAGUGAAUUUGUGUGACCUGUCUUCUGUGAACUUUGCCAUACUUUAUCUCUACUUGAGGAGUCCACACCAGCCUUCAGGCCUCUAGACAGCAGGAAAAUCUAGGAUGAAACUAAAAUGGAGGCAGGGUCCGUUUUGUGUGGUAAAUGUGCAUGUAUGAGUGGUGCUUGGGAGGAAAGCCUGAAGUUGAAUUCUGCCAAGGGUAGUUAA
rnacentral:lncRNA from 1 species